AACGAACGCUGGCGGCAGGCCUAACACAUGCAAGUCGAGCGCGCCUUUCGGGGUGAGCGGCGGACGGGUUAGUAACGCGUGGGAAUAUACCCUUUGGUACGGAAUAGCCUCUGGAAACGGAGAGUAAUACCGUAUGUGCCCUUCGGGGGAAAGAUUUAUCGCCAAAAGGAUUAGCCCGCGUUAGAUUAGGUAGUUGGUGGGGUAAUGGCCUACCAAGCCUACGAUCUAUAGCUGGUUUAGAGGAUGAUCAGCAACACUGGGACUGAGACACGGCCCAGACUCCUACGGAGGCAGCAGUGGGGAAUCUUGGACAAUGGGGGCAACCCUGAUCCAGCCAUGCCGCGUGAGUGAUGAA
rnacentral:rRNA from 1 species